rnacentral:tRNA from 1 species
GCAGGUGUAGUUCAAUGGUAGAACACUAGCCUUCCAAGCUAGAUACGAGGGUUCGAUUCCCUUCACCUGCU